AAUAGAUACCCAGGUAGUCCAUGCCGUAAACGUUGGGCACUAGGUGUGGGGCUCAUUCCACGAGUUCCGUGCCGCAGCAAACGCAUUAAGUGCCCCGCCUGGGGAGUACGGCCGCAAGGCUAAAACUCAAAGGAAUUGACGGGGGCCCGCACAAGCGGCGGAGCAUGCGGAUUAAUUCGAUGCAACGCGAAGAACCUUACCAAGGCUUGACAUGCACGGGAAGCCACCAGAGAUGGUGGUCUCUUUGGACACUCGUGCACAGGUGGUGCAUGGUUGUCGUCAGCUCGUGUCGUGAGAUGUUGGGUUAAGUCCCGCAACGAGCGCAACCCUCGUCCCAUGUUGCCAGCGGGUUAUGCCGGGGACUCAUGGGAGACUGCCGGGGUCAACUCGGAGGAAGGUGGGGAUGACGUCAAAUCAUCAUGCCCCUUAUGUCUUGGGCUUCACGCAUGCUACAAUGGCCGGUACGAAGGGCUGCGAUACCGUAAGGUGGAGCGAAUCCCAAAAAGCCGGUCUCAGUUCGGAUUGGGGUCG
rnacentral:rRNA from 1 species